CACCCCCAGUUUCCUUACCUAUCAGAUCUAAACACUGGGCUGAGUGGUUGUAAAGGGAGGAAGAGUAAAAUCUAAAUUGACUUUAAUGCUUUUGUGACACAUAGGCUAGUUUCAAACAACA
rnacentral:snoRNA from 1 species